AGCUCCAAUAGCGUAUAUUUAAGUUGUUGCGGUUAAAAAGCUCGUAGUUGGAUUUCGGGAGGGUACCACCGGUCCGCCAUUGGUGAGUACUGGUGCGACCUCUUUACUGGUGGUGACGGCGUUCUGGGGUUUGUUCCUCGGGAGUCGGAGUCACCGAUGUUACUUUGAGUAAAUUAGAGUGUUCAAAGCAGGCGAUCGCUGUGAAUACGAUAGCAUGGGAUAACACGAUAGGACUCUGGCCUAUCUUGUUGGUCUGUGGGACCGGAGUAAUGAUUAAGAGGGACAGUCGGGGGCAUUCGUAUUUCAUGGUCAGAGGUGAAAUUCUUGAAUUCAUGAAAGACGAACAUCUGCGAAAGCAUUUGCCAAGGAUGUUUUCAUUGAUCAAGAACGAAAGUACGCA
rnacentral:rRNA from 1 species